rnacentral:rRNA from 1 species
UCCGGUGACUCUAGCGGAGGGGAAACACCCGUUCCCAUCCCGAACACGGCAGUUAAGCCCUCCAGCGCCGAUGGUACUGCAUUGGCAACGAUGUGGGAGAGUAGGUCGUCGCCAGGA